CAGGACGAACGCUGGCGGCGCGCCUAACACAUGCAAGUCGAACGGAGUUAUCCGACUGAAGUUUCGGAUGGAAGAUGGAUAAACUAGUGGCGGACGGGUGAGUAACACGUGAGCAACCUGCCUUUCAGAGGGGGAUAACGAUUGGAAACGAUCGCUAAUACCGCAUAACAUUAUGAGGAGACAUCUUCUUAUAAUCAAAGGAGCAAUCCGCUGAAAGAUGGGCUCGCGGCCGAUUAGCUAGAUGGUGGGGUAACGGCCCACCAUGGCGACGAUCGGUAGCCGGACUGAGAGGUUGAACGGCCACAUUGGGACUGAGACACGGCCCAGACUCCUACGGGAGGCAGCAGUGGGGGAUAUUGCACAAUGGAGGAAACUUCCUGAUGCAGCGACGCCGCGUGAGGGAAGACGGUCUUCGGAUUGUAAACCUCUGUCUUAGGGGAAGAAAAUGACGGUACCCUAAGAGGAAGCUCCGGCUAACUACGUGCCAGCAGCAGC
rnacentral:rRNA from 1 species